rnacentral:snRNA from 1 species
AUAAUAUCAUAUAUUUUAAAAU